AACAAUAACUGACAUUUUCAUACCUGCUUUGUCAGGCUUAUGUUGAAUAAACAAAUGCACAUUUUAUUAGCCUAAACAACCCACUUUAAUUUUUACACCCACUUUAUGCUCACGAGGAAGUUAUAAGAUCUAAUUAAAAAAGCAAAAUUAAUUUUGUUUAUUCUAAUAAUCUACAAGGUAAUAAUGCUCUAUAGUAACGUGUACAUGGAACCAGCAGUCAUUCCGUUGUUUAAGGUAAAAAAAUCCAUGAAACAAUCUGAGAUUACCACGUGAUUCCUUAAGGUUUGUAAAGGAAUUGGAGUCACCUGUAUGAUCUCACAAACGCUGAAGACCCACGUGAUGCUGCCUGAUUAGCUUAGUGGCUGUGUCUCAAUUCAGGGUCUGCAUCCUACGUCGGCCGGAUUCGUCGGCCGGUUACGUCACAGCGCCGCGACUAGGCCUGUCCCAAUUCGAAGACUCCUUCAAAUGCGGUCGACGAAUGCGGCCUUCUUUUCGCCUGAAUGAAGGAUGGGUCCGGUGUAUCCUUCAACAGGUAGCAUUUCCCAAGAUGCCUUGCGGGCCGGCCAGCAGAAAAACUUAAAAACAAUGGCGGACAGUGAAGCGGGAGCUGUCGGAGAGGAUUGCGCAUAUAAAUGUCAGUAUAAACUUGAAAACUGUUAGGUUAAUGACUUUUUGUGAUACAUGAACGUUAUUUUAGUUAGAAAUGUUACAGUAAAAGUGCUUGUAUUGCGGUCUCGGCUCGUAUGUUCGGCCGCGCUCGGUGUCGUAUUUCUCCCGCUACGUUUUCCCCCUGAUUUUAAUAGAAGUUUGUAUUUUAGGAACAAAAGAGAAAACCAGGGAAUUUAUUAAGCUUAGGGCAGAGAUGGACCACAUGAUCACCGGAGCAAAGUAUUCGGCGGCUGUGGCAUGGAGACUAUUCUGGAGAAAAUGGGCAUCCAGGGGAAGGUGCCAGCGAUGACCAGCUUCUGGAUCUGAUCAGGGAGAACAUGAGGCUGCAGAGGGAGGCAGAGGGCCCAGGAGAGAAGGAAUAACUUUGACAGCUUUUUACUUUGCUAGAAAAAAAUGGUUAAUAAAGAUUAAACAUGUACAUAUAAAAGAAAUAUCUAAAUAAAAUCAGUUCUGCAUUAAACUCUUGAAUUUUAUUUUUGUUUACAAAUGAGAAUUGUUCAAUAUUACAGGGUAUCCGCUGGGUCUUAAAGUCUUAAAAGUUGAUAAAUGGGUUUUGGUCAAAUUAAGACCCUUAGAAAGUAUUAAAAACUAUUAUCACAUCUUUGCUCAGGCUCAGCUUGUCUAAAGUAUUUUCUCUGAAUUAGUUCUCCAACAGUCAAGGAAAUGAUUAACCCCCAGAGACCCACGGUUGUAACAUUACAACAUCAGAUUUAAGUCUACAAGAAUAAACCUUCCCCAUUUUUUCUUUUUAAAACUACAUUUACAUUGCUAAUAGGUCCUAUUGUUCAGUUCUGCAACACUAUUGACUGUUAAAAUGUGUAAAUAGGCCCGUUUAUCUGGCCUAGAACAACAUGUGAAAGGUUAAAUAAAGAUUUUGCAGUUGUUUUCUAAAUUUGGGUCUCUGGGGGUUAAAAAGCUAAAUAAAACGUCAAGCUCCAUCGUUUAAAGUUCCUUCUCCCUUCUGCCCAGCGGUUCCACGGUUGCUAGGCGACGGAACGUUCGCGGAGGGAGUUCAUGAAGGCUAGGCCUGUCCAAAUUCACAGCCGUUAACAUCCGGUCUACCCGGCCGACGGAGGACGCAGCCCGCGUCGGCCGAGUGGGCUGCGUCCUUCGAAGGAUGCAGACCCUGAAUUGAGAGCCCCCACAAUGCCGCUCUAAAAAUGGUCCCAUCCCGGAAGUAAGAAAAAUUGCAGUUCCACCCUCAUCCGCUGGGGGCUGGUGCCAGAAGCGAGCAAAUCCUCUUUGACUCCCAUGUUAAAAAUGCCGAUUUCACAGCAGAAAUAAACAUGUUUACAGCCUGGUGCCAAAACAUGUUUUUUGUCUAAAUUAGCUAGUUUAUACUCAUGACAACUCUGAGGGGGGUGAAUUUUUUUCUCACUCUUCUGUUUAAGUGUAUUGAAAGCCUAAAAUUCUGUAUAAUUAAUGAGCAUCCGACACACGUGACCGCCGCCUCAGACCCACGUGACCACAGAGCUAGCUCCGUGGAAAGGCCUCAGUACAGCCUCGGCCCCUCCUGGAAGCUGUUUCGGGAUUUUGAGUCUCUGUGCUUGUGAAUUCUGUUUUGGAUAUUAUUGGUGCAAUUGUUGGACAAAAUGACUUGCUGUGGUAUUAAUUGCACUAAUAGAGCGUCCAAGGAGUCUCCACUUCAUUUUUUUCGCAGGCUUGGAGUGACACCUGUGUCCAUUCUUCCAUCCGGUAAUCCCCAGCGGUCAGGCCAGGCAGCCUGACCUGUGCGGCGGCUAGUUUCUGCGCGGGCUGACCGCUCUUGGAGCUCUCAGAGACAGAUCUGACCGGAGAAAUACUGCAGCUCGGUGAGAAGUCUAUAGGGCAUACAGCGUUUCCCUUAAAUCCCACCGCCACGCCGACAAGAUCCCAAGUUUCUUUGUUUUUGUUUGCGCUGUUUACCGAAGAAGCAGCGGGAACUAAUAUGUUGUCGCUUGUGAUCACAGCCGGCGGGUAGCAAGUAUGUACAGUCUAUGAUUUUACCGCUCCCUCCUGCAGUCUUCCCCUAUUAAAAUUUAAAAUGUGUAACUUCAUGUAUUGGGAUGAAUGACUGAUAUUCAUGUUAAACUCAAACGUUAGGUAUUUAGGGG